UUGUUUUGUUUUCUCUGUCUCUUAAGCCUGUUUUGAUUUCUUCUUCCUUCAUCGCUUCCAGCCUGUGUGGCACUGCCCAUGGGGUUAGUUCAGCCUUGUUAACUGGUUCUGACCUUUUAAGGUAUUUAUGGUUCCAGCUCCAUUGCUUUCUAUGGAGUAAAGACCCGGCUGCGUCUAGAAUUCAAAAGGAAUGUGGAUGAAGGCAGUUACAUCGACUGAUACUUAUCCAGUACAUGUCUAAUAAGUCGUGACUUCCUAGGCUCCGAAAAUACAAUACAGUUUCUCUGUGUAUUCCUGUCUGUCUGUCCUGGAACCCACCCUGUAGACUUCGAACUCAAAAGAUUUGCCUGCCUCUGCCUUCUGAGCACUGGGAUUAGAUCCAUGUGCCACCACCACCACCUGGCAGGGUAAUGAAUCUUCUUAACACUAAACUAUGAAAUCCCUGUGCACAGAAUACAGAAUAAAAGAAAAGAAUUGAGGAUA